rnacentral:tRNA from 1 species
GCUCUGUAGUGUAGUGGUGAUCACGUUCACCUAACGUGUGAAACGUCCCCAGUUCGAAACUGGGCAGAAACA